rnacentral:rRNA from 1 species
CUGGAGGUAUCAGAAGUGCGAAUGCUGACAUAAGUAACGAUAAAGCGGGUGAAAAGCCCGCUCGCCGGAAGACCAAGGGUUCCUGUCCAACGUUAAUCGGGGCAGGGUGAGUCGACCCCUAAGGCGAGGCCGAAAGGCGUAGUCGAUGGGAAACGGGUUAAUAUUCCCGUACUUGGUGUUACUGCGAAGGGGGGACGGAGAAGGCUAUGUUGGCCGGGCGACGGUUGUCCCGGUUUAAGCGUGUAGGUGUGUGUUCCAGGUAAAUCCGGUUCACUUUAACACUGAGGCGUGAUGACGAGGCACUACGGUGCUGAAGCAACAAAUGCCCUGCUUCCAGGAAAAGCCUCUAAGCAUCAGGUAACAUCAAAUCGUACCCCAAACCGACACAGGUGGUCAGGUAGAGAAUACCAAGGCGCUUGAGAGAACUCGGGUGAAGGAACUAGGCAAAAUGGUGCCGUAACUUCGGGAGAAGGCACGCUGACACGUAGGUGAAGUGAUUUACUCAUGGAGCUGAAGUCAGUCGAAGAUACCAGCUGGCUGCAACUGUUUAUUAAAAACACAGCACUGUGCAAACACGAAAGUGGACGUAUACGGUGUGACGCCUGCCCGGUGCCGGAAGGUUAAUUGAUGGGGUCAGCGCAAGCGAAGCUCCUGAUCGAAGCCCCGGUAAACGGCGGCCGUAACUAUAACGGUCCUAAGGUAGCGAAAUUCCUUGUCGGGUAAGUUCCGACCUGCACGAAUGGCGUAAUGAUGGCCAGGCUGUCUCCACCCGAGACUCAGUGAAAUUGAACUCGCUGUGAAGAUGCAGUGUACCCGCGGCAAGACGGAAAGACCCCGUGAACCUUUACUAUAGCUUGACACUGAACAUUGAGCCUUGAUGUGUAGGAUAGGUGGGAGGCUUUGAAGUGUGGACGCCAGUCUGCAUGGAGCCGACCUUGAAAUACCACCCUUUAAUGUUUGAUGUUCUAACGUGGACCCGUGAUCCGGGUUGCGGACAGUGUCUGGUGGGUAGUUUGACUGGGGCGGUCUCCUCCUAAAGAGUAACGGAGGAGCACGAAGGUUGGCUAAUCCUGGUCGGACAUCAGGAGGUUAGUGCAAUGGCAUAAGCCAGCUUGACUGCGAGCGUGACGGCGCGAGCAGGUGCGAAAGCAGGUCAUAGUGAUCCGGUGGUUCUGAAUGGAAGGGCCAUCGCUCAACGGAUAAAAGGUACUCCGGGGAUAACAGGCUGAUACCGCCCAAGAGUUCAUAUCGACGGCGGUGUUUGGCACCUCGAUGUCGGCUCAUCACAUCCUGGGGCUGAAGUAGGUCCCAAGGGUAUGGCUGUUCGCCAUUUAAAGUGGUACGCGAGCUGGGUUUAGAACGUCGUGAGACAGUUCGGUCCCUAUCUGCCGUGGGCGCUGGAGAACUGAGGGGGGCUGCUCCUAGUACGAGAGGACCGGAGUGGACGCAUCACUGGUGUUCGGGUUGUCAUGCCAAUGGCACUGCCCGGUAGCUAAAUGCGGAAGAGAUAAGUGCUGAAAGCAUCUAAGCACGAAACUUGCCCCGAGAUGAGUUCUCCC